CGGAGUUGUUAUCUGAACCUUCUCGCCCUAAAAAGUGGGGGGGCUAAGGUAGCAGUAGUUUUCAUCAUAGUCCAUCAGGAUACUCUCUUGAUGUGUACUGGGUGUUAACCUCCUUUUUUCUGGUACUUGCUAUCCAGCAAUGGGUAGUUUUGUCCAGAUAGUUUACUUUGAAAAAUUAGAGUGUUCAAAGCAGGCAUAAUUGGCAUCAUGAAUACAUUAGCAUGGGAUAAUAGAAUAUGACAUUGGUCUUAUUUUGUUGGUUUCUAAGGCCAAAGUAAUGAUUGAUAGGGAUAGUUGGGGCCGCUCGUAUUGAGUUGUCAGAGGUGAAAUUCUAGGAUUUACUCAAGACGAACUAAUGCGAAAAGCAUUCGGCAAGGAUGUUUUCAUUAAAUCAAGAACGAAAAGUUGGGGGAGUCGAAGAUGAUCAGAUACCGUCGUAGUCUCAACCAUAAACUAUGUCAACCGAGGAUCGGUAGCGUUACAUGGAUGACCUCGGCACUCUGUGAG
rnacentral:rRNA from 1 species